rnacentral:rRNA from 1 species
AGGGAAACCGAGUCUUAACCGGGCGUUAAGUUGCAGGGUAUAGACCCGAAACCCGGUGAUCUAGCCAUGGGCAGGUUGAAGGUUGGGUAACACUAACUGGAGGACCGAACCGACUAAUGUUGAAAAAUUAGCGGAUGACCUGUGGCUGGGGGUGAAAGGCCAAUCAAACCGGGAGAUAGCUGGUUCUCCCCGAAAGCUAUUUAGGUAGCGCCUCGUGAACUCAUCUCCGGGGGUAGAGCACUGUUUCGGCUAGGGGGCCAUCCCGGCUUACCAACCCGAUGCAAACUGCGAAUACCGGAGAAUGUUAUCACGGGAGACACACGGCGGGUGCUAACGUCCGUCGUGAAGAGGGAAACAACCCAGACCGCCAGCUAAGGUCCCAAAGUCAUGGUUAAGUGGGAAACGAUGUGGGAAGGCCCAGACAGCCAGGAUGUUGGCUUAGAAGCAGCCAUCAUUUAAAGAAAGCGUAAUAGCUCACUGGUCGAGUCGGCCUGCGCGGAAGAUGUAACGGGGCUAAACCAUGCACCGAAGCUGCGGCAGCGACGCUGAUGCGUUGUUGGGUAGGGGAGCGUUCUGUAAGCCUGUGAAGGUGGCCUGUGAGGGUUGCUGGAGGUAUCAGAAGUGCGAAUGCUGACAUAAGUAACGAUAAAGCGGGUGAAAAGCCCGCUCGCCGGAAGACCAAGGGUUCCUGUCCAACGUUAAUCGGGGCAGGGUGAGUCGACCCCUAAGGCGAGGCCGAAAGGCGUAGUCGAUGGGAAACGGGUUAAUAUUCCCGUACUUGGUGUUACUGCGAAGGGGGGACGGAGAAGGCUAUGUUGGCCGGGCGACGGUUGUCCCGGUUUAAGCGUGUAGGUGUGUGUUCCAGGUAAAUCCGGUUCACUUUAACACUGAGGCGUGAUGACGAGGCACUACGGUGCUGAAGCAACAAAUGCCCUGCUUCCAGGAAAAGCCUCUAAGCAUCAGGUAACAUCAAAUCGUACCCCAAACCGACACAGGUGGUCAGGUAGAGAAUACCAAGGCGCUUGAGAGAACUCGGGUGAAGGAACUAGGCAAAAUGGUGCCGUAACUUCGGGAGAAGGCACGCUGACACGUAGGUGAAGUGAUUUACUCACGGA